AUGCAACGAGGUAUAGCUCC
rnacentral:snRNA from 1 species